rnacentral:antisense_RNA from 1 species
UAAAACUAGCUUUCACUAGUUGGAGGCAAUGUGACUAAUUUUCACCUCCAGGAGCCCAUGUAUCAUAGAUUCCUCCAAAAUACAUAGCUUUUAAAACUAAUAACCAAGCACCACAACCUAACAUGAUUAAGUGGUAACCUAAGAUAGAAGUCAUUUUAUUUUUAUCUUUCCA